rnacentral:rRNA from 1 species
CAGUAGCCGCGGGAAUACGUAGGGUGCAAGCGUUAAUCGGAAUUACUGGGCGUAAAGCGUGCGCAGGCGGUUAUAUAAGACAGAUGUGAAAUCCCCGGGCUCAACCUGGGAACUGCAUUUGUGACUGUAUAGCUAGAGUACGGCAGAGGGGGAUGGAAUUCCGCGUGUAGCAGUGAAAUGCGUAGAUAUGCGGAGGAACACCGAUGGCGAAGGCAAUCCCCUGGGCCUGUACUGACGAUCAUGCACGAAAGCGUGGGGAGCAAACAGGAUUAGAUACCCCGGUAGUCCCUGUCUCUUAUAC